GACGAACGCUGGCGGCAGGCUUAACACAUGCAAGUCGAACGCAUCCUUCGGGGUGAGUGGCAGACGGGUGAGUAACGCGUGGGAACGUGCCCUUCAGUUCGGGAUAACCCAGGGAAACUUGGGCUAAUACCGGAUACGUGCGAGAGCAGAAAGGUUUAUCGCUGAAGGAUCGGCCCGCGUCUGAUUAGCUAGUUGGUGGGGUAAUGGCCCACCAAGGCGACGAUCAGUAGCUGGUCUGGGAGGAUGAUCAGCCACAUUGGGACUGAGACACGGCCCAAACUCCUACGGGAGGCAGCAGUGGGGAAUAUUGGACAAUGGGCGCAAGCCUGAUCCAGCCAUGCCGCGUGAGUGAUGAAGGCCUUAGGGUUGUAAAGCUCUUUCGUCCGGGACGAUAAUGACGGUACCGGAAGAAGAAGCCCCGGCUAACUUCGUGCCAGCAGCCGCCGUAA
rnacentral:rRNA from 1 species